AAUCCGUGUUCUUGGUCUUGCAAGAUAAGUUUCCGUUGCCUCUUUCUUCUUACUUGCAGCAAUCAGCAACAAUUUCUGGCAGAGAAAAUGAAUGAAAUCUGAAAAUGGCAGAGAAGCUUGCACUUCCUUUCCGGCCUCACCUGCUGACCUGCAGCGAAACUAAUCGAGUAAAGAAAACGAAAACAACUCGACGGCUGCUUGUAGGUGCGGCAGGUCAAAACGAAACGAGCCAAGAAAAAUUCACACGUUGGCAAUGGCCGCCACCCCCGCCUACGCAGGCGGCGGCGGCGCCCUCCCGAGCUCCGAUUCGUCCAACCCGCCCACCCCCAUCUCGUCUUGCCUUCCUCACUGAAUUCACGAUCUCGCUGCCCCGGGGACCUCGACGCGCGCCUCCGCCGGCAGCCACCGCCGAGGAGAGGGUAGCGGAGGAGAAGGGACCGGCGUGGGUGGAGCUGGAGCCCAUCAGCAGCGAGCAGCGGCUGGAUCGGGCCCUCGAGGAGGCGCAGCAGCUCGACCUCCCCAUCGUGCUGCUCUGGAUGGCAAGUUGGUGCAGAAAAUGCAUAUAUCUGACGCCUAAGCUUGAGAAGUUGGCAGCGGAAUACCAUCCAGGGAGUAACAGGAAGUCUUUCCAUGCACUGGAUUGGUUCCUCAGUGUUCUGUCUCUCACCGAUGAUAGGAGCCUUCUUUAUGCCCAAAUAUGCUUCUUAUUGUAAAAAUCAGAGGUAUUUCUAGACCCCCCCCCCCCCACCUCCUCUUCCUCUUCCCCUUCCCCUUCCCCUUCCGAGAAGCCUCUAGAAUUCCUUUCUUGUGCUUCUUUCCCUGUUUUGGUGGAGACAUGUCCUCUAGAGGCCCUGGAUUCUUUAUUGUUAGCUGCCGGCUUUCUGCAACUUGCAUCUAAGUUUUUGCUAGCCUUAUCCUUCAGCUUUUUUAACAGAGUACCAUAUCAAAUAUAAUCCCAUGAUGCAUUUGGCCUCAUUGUUAGCUUGUCCUCAGCAAUUACAUAUAUAUACAGAUGACAAAUUGGAUCCUUAAUAUAUUUAAUAAAAAAUGUAAAUACUAAUGCCUUCUUUUGUCUAACUUGUGUGAUCUAUAACACGGAGCUCGAGCAGAAGAUGCCUUCUAUACAGCUGUGGAGUGACUCCCAAAAACAGGCUGAGGUGAUCGGCGGGCACAAAUCUUGGCUGGUAAUUGAUGAUGUCCGGAGGAUGAUUGAGAGGGAGGAAUGAUCCAGCGUGUCUUUUAGCGCAACAAUAGUGUGCAAAGGGAGAUAAUUCGGUAUUAACACUUGCUCUUAGAUUGAGCCAUAUUUCAGUCCUUGUAUCAACAUGUUAGCAUCCACGGUCAGAGGCGUCAUCUUGCAUAAACACUCGGGGCAGUACUUCUUGGAGCCUCUGGUGGAACUAGAAGAAUAGUGGAAUUCAGCUACCGGUGCCUGCAUUCCUGUGAUGUCCUUGAUGUAUCCAUGUGUAUUAUCUGGAAUUGGUUCUGUCAACAAUAAUUCAAUAUGGAAAGACUGGCCUUGAUAUUAGCCACUGUAUAAUAUGUCGAGUCCAUGACUUUUCAGAAUACA